rnacentral:rRNA from 1 species
AGAGUUUGAUCAUGGCUCAGGACUAACGCUGGCGGCGUGCCUAACACAUGCAAGUCGAACGAAGUAGCAAUACUUAGUGGCAGACGGGUGAGUAACACGUGGUCAACCUACCUCUUAGUGGGGGAUAACUAGCCGAAAGGUUAGCUAAUACCGCAUACGAUCGUCGAGCGGCAUCGCUUGACGAUGAAAGGAGCAAUUCG